rnacentral:lncRNA from 1 species
UCAGAAGCAACUAUGAAACAAAGGAACAAUGUAACUGAAUGUAUCCUCCUGGGGCUCACUCAGAGUGUCCAGGGUCAGAAAAUAUUACUUGUCAUGUUCUUGCUAAUCUACAUUGGGACCAUGAUGGGCAACCUACUCAUUAUUGUGACUGUGAUGGUCAGCCCAACCCUGGAUGCUCCCAUGAACUUCUUUCUUGGCUACCUAUCAUUUAUAGAUGCUGUUUAUUCUACUACAGUCAUGCCAGAUAUGAUAACAGGCUUACUGUGUGAGAAGAAACCCAUUUCCUUCCUAGCUUUCAUGACCCAGAUUUUUAUGUGGCACUUUUUUGGUGAUGCUGAUAUAUGCCUCUUGGUCGUCAUGGCCUAUGACUGUUAUGUGGCCAUUUGUAAACCCUUGCAUUAUUUGACAAUCAUGAAUCAGCCAGUGUGUGCUCUGCUGCUGUUGUUGGCCUGGAUUGGUGGGUUUUACACGGAGUAUUUCAUCCUCUCUUUGUUUACAAUCUUCCCUUCUGUGGCCCGAAUAUCAUUGACCAUUUCAUCUGUGAUGUGUACCCCUUGUUAAAAAUUGCUUGCACUGACACCUACAUCACUGCUUUCACAGUGGUGGCCAAUGAUGGGGCAAUGUCUGUGGUCACCUUUACACUCUUACUUGUCUCCUAUGGGGUCAUCCUGCACUCCCUAAGGAAUGUUAGUCAAGAAGGGAGGUGCAAAACCUUGUCCACCUGUGGCUCCCACAUUACCAUGGUGGUCCUUUCUUUUUUGCCUUGUAUUUUUCUGUAUGUGAGGCCUCCUUCCACCUUACCCACUGAUAAAUCCUUAACUGUGUUUUAUACAAUUAUCACCCCUAUGUUGAAUCCUCUAAUCUUUACUCUGAGAAAUAGUGAGAUAAAAACUGCCAUGAAAAAGCUCUGGACCAGAAAAAGAAAUGGGACAGCUGGGAAAUAUAUGGCCCAUUUU